rnacentral:rRNA from 1 species
UACAGAGGUCUCGAGCGUUAGGCGGAAUCACUGGGCUUAAAGCGUGUGUAGGCGGAUCGGUAAGUACCUUGUGAAAUCCCACAGCUUAACUGUGGAACUGCUUGGUAUACUGCCAGUCUUGAGCCACUUAGGGGCUACCGGAACAAAUGGUGGAGCGGUGAAAUGCGUAGAUAUCAUUUGGAACGCCAAUGGUGAAAACAGGUUGCUGGGGCUGUGCUGACGCUGAGACACGAAAGCUAGGGGAGCAAACGGG